rnacentral:rRNA from 1 species
GACUAACGCUGGCGGCGUGCUUAACACAUGCCCGUCGAAACAUGUCCACUGCGGAACAGUCCAAGGGAACACCUAGUGUUCAACGGGUGCGUAACAUUGGAGGAACUUGUCCCGGUCUCUGGGAUAACAUUUGGAAACGACUGCUAAUACCGGAUGACGUCCCAGCCCUGCAUGGGGUACUGACUAAAGGUUUACCGGAACGGGAUAGCCUCCCGGCCUAUCAGCUUGUUGGUGGGGUAAAGGCCUACCAAGGCAUCCACGGCCCUCUGGUCUGACAGGAUGAUCUACCACCCUGGGACUGACACACGGUCCAAACUCCUACUGGAGGCACUUUCGGGGAAUCUUGCCCAAUGGGCAAAAGCCUGACCCACCAGCUCCUCGUGCGGGAAGAACGCUCUCGGGUUGUAAACCGCUUUCUGCAUGAACAAAAAUGACCGUACUUGCUUAACAAGGUGCGGCCUACUACUUGC